AGUCGAACGCCCUAGCAAUAGGGAGUGGCGCNCGGGUGCGUNACAUGUGGGAAUAUGCCUUUUGGUACGGAACAACGUUUGGAAACGAACGCUAAUACCGUAUGGUCCCUUCGGGGUAAAGAUUUAUCGCCAAAAGAUUAGCCCGCACUGGAUUAGCUAGUUGGUGAGGUGAUGGCCUACCAAGGCGACGACGGGUAGCCGGCCUGAGAGGGCGACCGGCCACACUGGGACUGAGACACGGCCCAGACUCCUACGGGAGGCAGCAGUGGGGAAUAUUGCACAAUGGGCGGAAGCCUGAUGCAGCGACGCCGCGUGAGGGAUGACGGCCUUCGGGUUGUAAACCUCUUUCGACAGGGACGAAGCGUGAGUGACGGUACCUGGAGAAGAAGCGCCGGCCAACUACGUGCCAGCAGCCGCG
rnacentral:rRNA from 1 species